AUUCAGCCGAUGAAUCCUGAAUAGGAUGAAACAUGUGUCUUGGAU
rnacentral:hammerhead_ribozyme from 1 species